ACUCAAAUGAAUUGACGGGGGCCCGCACAAGCGGCGGAGCAUGUUGCUUAAUUCGAGGCAACGCGAAGAACCUUACCUGGGUUUGACAUGCAGGGAAAACUGGCAGAGAUGUCAGGUCCGCAAGGGCUCUGCACAGGUGGUGCAUGGCUGUCGUCAGCUCGUGUCGUGAGAUGUUGGGUUAAGUCCCGCAACGAGCGCAACCCUCGUCCUAUGUUGCCAGCGGGUAAUGCCGGGGACUCAUAGGAGACUGCCGGGGUCAACUCGGAGGAAGGUGGGGUCGAAGUCAAGUCUUCAUGCCCCUUACGCCCAGGGCUGCAAACAUGCUACAAUGGCCGGUACAAAGGGCUGCGAUACCGCAAGGUGGAGCGAAUCCCAAAAAGCCGGUCUCAGUUCGGAUUGGGGUCUGCAACUCGACCCCAUGAAGUCGGAGUCGCUAGUAAUCGCAGAUCAGCAACGCUGCGGUGAAUACGUUCCCGGGCCUUGUACACACCGCCCGU
rnacentral:rRNA from 1 species